UUGAUAUCUUCUUCUAUGAAUAAAUGGAGAAUAUGGUUACGAACGGAUGAAUCAUGGUUGUCCAUGCCCGAUCUUCCCUCUAUUUUUUCGAAAUCUGUUCUUGUUCAUCUUGUUAUAUUGAAGUUGUUCCACUCUUAGAGUUUAGAGAGUUCUUCACCAUCCAAUCAUCACUGUUACUCAACAACAGAUACUCAGUGCCAAUCGUUAUUCAUCAAGAUGUUCACAAGCAUCACGAGUUUUCUGAUUUGGGGCUUUUUUCAUAAACCCUAAUUUCAGGAAAUUAUGGAUUUUUUACCUUCUUUUGAGUAGGAUUAGUGGCAGUAGGAAGAGGUUAUUUGAGAAUGUGGAUGAGUAUGUGAAUAUGGAUGAUAAUGAUUAUGAGAAUGUUGUAUUUAGUGCUGAAACAAGACAAGCUGGGUUGGAGUAUGAGAACAUUCAGCUAUGUAAUAAUGUUGAAGAUGUCUGUCAUCCGAUUGAUGAUCCUAGAAGUCCAGUUUCUGAUACUGAAGAAAUGAGCAUUGGUGUAUACUAUGAUUUUUUGAACAAUUACUUUAAGGACCACAACUGGGUUGACACUGUACACCCACAACAGUAUAUGGAUGCAGUCAAUGAAGUACAAGGCAGCAGUGUGGAGCAAGAAGGUGAGCAGGAAGAUCCAAAAGGAAAAGCAAUUGUUCCUUGUGAUACUGAGGGUAAUGAGGAUUAGAACAUUGAUGAUGAUAGUUCAAGCUCUGAAUCUGAUGGUGAAGAAGUCCAAGGACAAUUUAAUGGUGGUAAUGAGCCAACUCAUCAGAAACAGAAUCCACGGUACAAUCAGUUUGAGCAAGUGCAUGGUCCAGACAUUGAUGCAGAUGGAAAUUGAGAGUUGUUUCCUGGUGCUGAUGGGAAUGCAUUACUCAUGGUUGAUGUUGACACAAUGUUUGUGCGAAUGCAGUUUAUGGAUAAAGAUGACUUCAAGAAGCACCUACGAGGUUAUCCCAUUAAGAAGAGAUUCCAGUACAAGCUUAAGCCCAAUGAAAAUGAAAGGAUCAAAGUUAUAUGCAGGUUCAAGAAAUCUCAAGACUGCAAGUUCUUCAUCUGGGCAAGUGUUACCAGGGGUGAACCAACUUUUACUGUGAGGAGGUUCAACUUAAAGCAUACAUGUACAACUCAACUGAAGACCAGAAAUAGAGCAGCUAAUGCAGAAUUUGUUGCUGAGUAUUUGUAUGACAAGAUAAAGAGAGGAGAUACAAUGCCACUGCCAUAUGCACUCAAAGAUCAAUUCUUUACUACUCACAAUACCAAUGUCCCAUAUCAUGUUACAUAGAGAGCAAUAAGAAUGACUUAGAAAGACUCAAUGGAAGCUAUGAUGAAUCUUAUAGGCUGGUUCCAGCCUUUUGUGAUAUGAUAGAAGCAACUAAUCCUGGUUCUGUUACAAAUUACUCUUUUGGAAGUGAGGACAAAUGUUUUGAGUCCAUGAUGAUUGCAUUUGCAGCACCAAUUCAAGGAUGGAAGGAUGGUGGUAGACCAGUCAUUGGUUUCGAUGCCUGCCAUUUGACUGGAAAACAUGGUGGAUGUCUAAUGUCAGCUAUUGGUUCAGAUGGACAUAAUGGGAUAGUGACUCUAGCCAUAAAGGUGGUCAAAAAUGAAUUUGGGGAAAAUUGGCACUUAUUCAUGAAAGAGCUGAGCCACUUAUUGAAGACCAUCCUGCUGGGAAGCUAACCUUUAUCUCAGACAUAAAAAAAGGUCUCCAAGAGUCAUUGGAUGAGGUUUUCCCUGAACAUUUAAAAAGAUACUUCUUUCGAACUUGAAGACACACUUCAAGGAAUCAAAGUUGCGCUCUUAUAUACAAUGCUGCCAAAUGCUACAAGGAGAGACACUGGAAGUAUACAUGAUGAAGGAAAAACCAGAACAAUGGUCCAGGGCUUUCUUUGACCCAUCUGCAUGUUGUGAGCACUUAAACAACAAUUUCUCUGAGUCCUUAAAUAACAUGAUUAAAAAUAUGAUAGACAAGCCUAUUUGUGCCCUUGGAAUGAUGUAUGGCCAGCUAGUUAUGGGUACUAUGUUCAAAAGAAGAAAUGUGAGUGCAAAUUGGGAAAAUGGUAAGUUGGUGUCAACUGCGCAUGACUUGAUUGAUGAGAUGUAGAAAUGUUUUGGAGCAUUCAGGGUUAAUGGAGAAAUUAUUGACAAGUUAUAUGAAGUGACUUCAAAGACAAAUGUUGUAUUUCAAGUUGAUGUGGUUGAGAAGACUUGUUCAUGUGUUCAGUGGAAGCUUAGAGGCUUUGUAUGUCAACAUGUAGUGUGUGUGCUUAUGGACAUGAGAAUCAAUUGGGCAGAUUAUUGCAGCAAGUACUAUCAUGUAGAAUGUUACAAGGAAAUUUAUGCACCUGAGAUGGGGUUACUGAUUGGAAGAGAAGAGCGGCCUAAGCCAUUGGUAGAAAUCAACCCACCCAUAGAUAUGAGGAAACCAGGAAGGCCUUGCAAGAAAAGGAAGAGAGAACAUGAUGAACUUCACAGUGAGAAGGUGGUCGGAACUUGUAAGAGAUGCAAGAUGCCUGGUCAUAACAGGAGGACAUGUGCUGGUGCACCAGUUGGAUCUAAUCCAAAACAAAAAUACAAAGAACUAUGGUGGAAGGAGGAAGUCAUAAGACUACUUACCCAGAUCCUACAGAGCUGAGUACCAGUAUAAGGGCAAGUAAUAGGGGAAGAGAAAAAGGAUUUGCAUCAUCUUCUCAGCCUACCACUGCAUCAUCUUCUCAGCCUACAUCUGCAUCAUAUGGAUCUAGGGGUGGCAGGGGUUCAAGAGGUGGAAGAGGUUCUAGGGGAGGUAGGUAUGGUGGUAGAUUUGUGCAACAUCCAUUGAGCCAGACCAUCGGUGGUGUUGUUGGGUUGUCUCAGACUCUUUCUCAGACAUUCACAGUCCCUAAACCAAAGACAAAGAAAGUGACAUUCUCUGCUACUCAAUGAAGACUAGUUGCUGGUAGUUAAAUGAUGUUGUGUUGGGUUUAGUUCAAUUUCAGUCCCUCGUUGUUUUUUUGCUUGUUUGAAUGGAUGUUUAUGGUGCUUGUUUGAAUGGAUUUCACUGCAUCUGUUAGCAGUUAACUUAAGUAACAGACUUAUAUUAAUUAUUAAUGAAUAUUAAUAUAUAUGUAAUUAACUUAA